GGAGGGGGCUAGCGUUGUUCAGAAUUACUGGGCGUAAAGGGCGCGUAGGCGGCCUGCCAAGUUAGGGGUGAAAGGCCCGGGCUCAACCCGGGAACUGCCCUUGAAACUGGCAAGCUAGAGUCCGAGAGAGGAUGGCGGAAUUCCCAGUGUAGAGGUGAAAUUCGUAGAUAUUGGGAAGAACACCGGUGGCGAAGGCGGCCAUCUGGCUCGGUACUGACGCUGAGGCGCGAAAGCGUGGGGAGCAAACAGGAUUAGAUACCCUGGGUAGUCCACGCCGUAAACGAUGUGUGCUAGACGUUGGGGGUUCUUAGGCCCUUCGGUGUCGCAGCUAACCGCGUUAAGCACACCGCCUGGGGAGUACGGCCGCAAGGUUA
rnacentral:rRNA from 1 species